rnacentral:rRNA from 1 species
UACGGAGGGUGCGAGCGUUGUCCGGAAUCACUGGGCGUAAAGGGCGCGUAGGCGGCUCGGUAAGCGCGUGGUGAAAGCCCGGGGCUCAACCCCGGGUCGGCCGUGCGAACUGUCGGGCUCGAGCACUGUAGAGGCGGGUGGAAUUCCGGGUGUAGCGGUGGAGUGCGUAGAGAUCCGGAAGAACACCGGUGGCGAAGGCGGCCCGCUGGGCAGUGACCGCAAGGUCUGAAAGCUGACGCUGAGGCGCGACAGCGUGGGGAGCAAACAGG